GAUGAAGAACGUAGCGAAAUGCGAUAAGUAAUGUGAAUUGCAGAAUUCAGUGAAUCAUCGAAUCUUUGAACGCACAUUGCGCCCGCCAGUAUUCUGGCGGGCAUGCCUGUUCGAGCGUCAUUUCAACCAUCAAGCCUCAGGCUUGUGUUGGAGCCCUGCGGCUGCCGCAGCCUCCCAAAACCAGUGGCGGGCUCGCUAUCACACCGAGUGCAGUAGUUUACUCUUCGCUCAGGGCGUGUGGCGGGUGCUAGCCGUGAAACCCCCAACUUCUCAAGGUUGACCUCGGAUCAGGUAGGAAUACCCGCUGAACUUAAGCAUACAAUAAGCGGAGGA
rnacentral:misc_RNA from 1 species